UAGGUGACUGCGUACCUUUUGUAUAAUGGGUCAGCGACUUAUAUUCAGUGGCAAGCUUAACCGUAUAGGGUAGGCGUAGCGAAAGCGAGUCUUAAUAGGGCGUUUAGUCGCUGGGUAUAGACCCGAAACCGGGCGAUCUAUCCAUGAGCAGGUUGAAGGUUAGGUAACACUGACUGGAGGACCGAACCCACUCCCGUUGAAAAGGUAGGGGAUGACUUGUGGAUCGGAGUGAAAGGCUAAUCAAGCUCGGAGAUAGCUGGUUCUCCUCGAAAGCUAUUUAGGUAGCGCCUCAUGUAUCACUCUGGGGGGUAGAGCACUGUUUCGGCUAGGGGGUCAUCCCGACUUACCAAACCGAUGCAAACUCCGAAUACCCAGAAGUGCCGAGCAUGGGAGACACACGGCGGGUGCUAACGUCCGUCGUGAAAAGGGAAACAACCCAGACCGCCAGCUAAGGUCCCAAAGUUGUGGUUAAGUGGUAAACGAUGUGGGAAGGCUUAGACAGCUAGGAGGUUGGCUUAGAAGCAGCCACCCUUUAAAGAAAGCGUAAUAGCUCACUAGUCGAGUCGGCCUGCGCGGAAGAUGUAACGGGGCUCAAACCACACACCGAAGCUGCGGGUGUCACGUAAGUGACGCGGUAGAGGAGCGUUCUGUAAGCCUGUGAAGGUGAGUUGAGAAGCUUGCUGGAGGUAUCAGAAGUGCGAAUGCUGACAUGAGUAACGACAAUGGGUGUGAAAAACACCCACGCCGAAAGACCAAGGGUUCCUGCGCAACGUUAAUCGACGCAGGGUUAGUCGGUUCCUAAGGCGAGGCUGAAAAGCGUAGUCGAUGGGAAACAGGUUAAUAUUCCUGUACUUCUGGUUACUGCGAUGGAGGGACGGAGAAGGCUAGGCCAGCUUGGCGUUGGUUGUCCAAGUUUAAGGUGGUAGGCUGAAAUCUUAGGUAAAUCCGGGGUUUCAAGGCCGAGAGCUGAUGACGAGUCGUCUUUUAGAUGACGAAGUGGUUGAUGCCAUGCUUCCAAGAAAAGCUUCUAAGCUUCAGGUAACCAGGAACCGUACCCCAAACCGACACAGGUGGUCGGGUAGAGAAUACCAAGGCGCUUGAGAGAACUCGGGUGAAGGAACUAGGCAAAAUGGCACCGUAACUUCGGGAGAAGGUGCGCCGGCUAGGGUGAAGGAUUUACUCCGUAAGCUCUGGCUGGUCGAAGAUACCAGGCCGCUGCGACUGUUUAUUAAAAACACAGCACUCUGCAAACACGAAAGUGGACGUAUAGGGUGUGACGCCUGCCCGGUGCCGGAAGGUUAAUUGAUGGGGUUAGCGCAAGCGAAGCUCUUGAUCGAAGCCCCGGUAAACGGCGGCCGUAACUAUAACGGUCCUAAGGUAGCGAAAUUCCUUGUCGGGUAAGUUCCGACCUGCACGAAUGGCGUAACGAUGGCGGCGCUGUCUCCACCCGAGACUCAGUGAAAUUGAAAUCGCUGUGAAGAUGCAGUGUAUCCGCGGCUAGACGGAAAGACCCCGUGAACCUUUACUGUAGCUUUGCACUGGACUUUGAGCCUGCUUGUGUAGGAUAGGUGGGAGGCUUUGAAGCGUGGACGCCAGUUCGCGUGGAGCCAUCCUUGAAAUACCACCCUGGCAUGCUUGAGGUUCUAACUCUGGUCCGUAAUCCGGAUCGAGGACAGUGUAUGGUGGGCAGUUUGACUGGGGCGGUCUCCUCCUAAAGAGUAACGGAGGAGUACGAAGGUGCGCUCAGACCGGUCGGAAAUCGGUCGUAGAGUAUAAAGGCAAAAGCGCGCUUGACUGCGAGACAGACACGUCGAGCAGGUACGAAAGUAGGUCUUAGUGAUCCGGUGGUUCUGUAUGGAAGGGCCAUCGCUCAACGGAUAAAAGGUACUCCGGGGAUAACAGGCUGAUACCGCCCAAGAGUUCAUAUCGACGGCGGUGUUUGGCACCUCGAUGUCGGCUCAUCACAUCCUGGGGCUGAAGCCGGUCCCAAGGGUAUGGCUGUUCGCCAUUUAAAGUGGUACGCGAGCUGGGUUUAGAACGUCGUGAGACAGUUCGGUCCCUAUCUGCCGUGGACGUUUGAGAUUUGAGAGGGGCUGCUCCUAGUACGAGAGGACCGGAGUGGACGAACCUCUGGUGUUCCGGUUGUCACGCCAGUGGCAUUGCCGGGUAGCUAUGUUCGGAAAAGAUAACCGCUGAAAGCAUCUAAGCGGGAAACUUGCCUCAAGAUGAGAUCUCACUGGGAACUUGAUUCCCCUGAAGGGCCGUCGAAGACUACGACGUUGAUAGGCUGGGUGUGUAAGCGUUGUGAGGCGUUGAGCUAACCAGUACUAAUUGCCCGUGAGGCUUGACC
rnacentral:rRNA from 1 species